GCCAGUGUGGUAUAAUGGUUUGAGCACUGGACUAUAAUUCCGGAGACCAAGGUUCAAAUCCCUGCUCAGACA